GACGAACGCUGGCGGCGUGCUUAACACAUGCAAGUCGAACGGAAAGGCCCUGCUUUUGUGGGGUGCUCGAGUGGCGAACGGGUGAGUAACACGUGAGUAACCUGCCCUUGACUUUGGGAUAACUUCAGGAAACUGGGGCUAAUACCGGAUAGGAGCUCCUGCUGCAUGGUGGGGGUUGGAAAGUUUCGGCGGUUGGGGAUGGACUCGCGGCUUAUCAGCUUGUUGGUGGGGUAGUGGCUUACCAAGGCUUUGACGGGUAGCCGGCCUGGGAGGGUGACCGGCCACAUUGGGACUGCGAUACGGCCCAGACUCCUACGGGAGGCAGCAGUGGGGAAUAUUGCACAAUGGGCGGAAGCCUGAUGCAGCAACGCCGCGUGCGGGAUGACGGCCUUCGGGUUGUAAACCGCUUUCGCCUGUGACGAAGCGUGAGUGACGGUAAUGGGUAAAUAAGCACCGGCUAACUACGUG
rnacentral:rRNA from 1 species